rnacentral:rRNA from 1 species
GACGAACGCUGGCGGCGUGCCUAAUACAUGCAAGUUGAGCGCUGAAGGUUGGUACUUGUACCAACUGGAUGAGCAGCGAACGGGUGAGUAACGCGUGGGGAAUCUGCCUUUGAGCGGGGGACAACAUUUGGAAACGAAUGCUAAUACCGCAUAAAAACUUUAAACACAAGUUUUAAGUUUGAAAGAUGCAAUUGCAUCACUCAAAGAUUAUCCCGCGUUGUAUUAGCUAGUUGGUGAGGUAAAGGCUCACCAAGGCGAUGAUACAUAGCCGACCUGAGAGGGUGAUCGGCCACAUUGGGACUGAGACACGGCCCAAACUCCUACGGGAGGCAGCAGUAGGGAAUCUUCGGCAAUGGACGAAAGUCUGACCGAGCAACGCCGCGUGAGUGAAGAAGGUUUUCGGAUCGUAAAACUCUGUUGGUAGAGAAGAACGUUAGUGAGAGUGGAAAGCUCAUCAAGUGACGGUAACUACCCAGAAAGGGACGGCUAACUACGUG